UUAAUAAACCGUAACUUGUUAACAAGCAUGAUUUAGUGAACUUGAGUUGAUGAUUAUUUAAUGAUUGAUUUUACAACAUAACAUUUCAAGUUUAAUAAGAUUUAUUUAUGUGAACAAACUUAAUUACCUAUUCAAUAAAAUUGGAAUCGGAAUAUUAAAGAUGGUUUUCAAUGAUUACAAAGUAACCAGGAUUAGAUUGACAUAGGCAAUGACUAUGUUACCAGUUGAUCGAGAUAUAAUUAUAAGACAUGGUCUACUUCAUUUUUUUCGAACCUCAAUCUUGUUUUUCAAUUAUUUAAAGACUUAAAGACGGAAUUCUUGUAGAUUAAUUGAAUGGUGAUUAAAGCAAAGUUUAAAGAUGCUCCAAUGAUUAUCUGACAAAGAAACAAACAAAGGUUAUAAAGAAAGUGAGAGAGGUCAGUAUGAAGCUCAAACAAGACGAAGAUAAUAGAUUAUCAAAACAACUUUGCAACCUUGACUCGAUUCUAAAGGGAAAAAGGUACUUGACCUUGUGCCUAUCUUAACCUGAACCCAAAGAUCCAAAGAUUUUGGUGUUAUUAUUGGGAAUUUAAAGAUCAAAAACAAAUCAGGUUACCUCACUAAAGACCAAUUAUUUUAUAAGCAAGGUCAAUCUUUUAUAACGACUUCUCAGGAAUUCAAGGAGGACUAAAGACAACUGUGUGCUGCUGACAAAAGGAUGAAUUUAAAAAGCCAAAGAUGCAGCUUAUAAAAUGGACCAAUUUGAUUUUGAAAAAAGAGUUUCCAAAACAAUAACGACAACAUAAUUCACAGCUUAUUACCACAAUGACACCUAAGUGUAUAGUUUCUUGGUGAUAUUAUGCUUUAGAGGAAACUCUAAACGUCCAUUGUUGAGUUAAUUGCUGUAAUGAUAAAACAAUAAGCUCAAAUUAGUCAAAGUCAAAGUUGAUAUUGCAUAUCAUUUUAAAUUUAAAAUUUUAAAAACAGAAGCGUUGGUAGCUAUUGACAUGCAAAUUAGUUCAAUCUGUUCACUUGCUUCCAAGGGUGGUGGGAUGAUGAGCUUGUUAUUAAUGAGGAUGAUAUGAAUGGUGAUAAAUACUCAACAGUGAAACGACCGAAUCUCAAAGUGGAAACAAAAAGAAAAUCGUUAUAAAGAGAAAGAAAGAGAACAAGAUUGACAUUGAAACUAAUACAAACUGGACUCUUAUUAGUUAUAUUUAUACGUGAGCGGCUGUAAUCUCAAGGUUAUCAUCUUCAUCAUCAUCAUCAUCAUCACUUGUAUCAUUAUUAUCAUCACAAUUAUGAUGAUCAACAUCGCCAACGAUUUUAUUUUCAAGAUGUUAAUCAGCACUUUAUUGUGUGUGUUUAUCCUUUCACACCUUACAUUCAUUCUGGUGUAAUUUGAUGAACCAGUGAACAAUAACCAAUGGUAGGAACCAUUUAAAUAUUGUCAAGAUUAGAGAAUCAAAGAAAAUCCAAAGAAAGAGGAAAAAGAAAGUCAGAGUGGGGUUCGGAAGUGGGUUGCGGAAGGAAGUUUUGGGGUCAAUUGGUUGGCUUUGCUGUUGUCAAACUGGGUUUUAAUACGAGUAGGCAAUGUUGUAAGGAUUGGAUCCAUGUGAUGACAUAGUGAACCAGGUUUGUGGAGCUCCAUUGAAGUAGUUGGUUGCUGGUUGUGGUGCAGC